AGCUUCAGUAGCGUAUAUUAAAGUUGUUGCAGUUAAAAAGCUCGUAGUCGCAUUUCUGGCGAGAGGAUCCGGUCCGACCUUUUGGUGGGUUCUUGGGUCUCUUUCGCCAUCCUUGAGUGGUCCGUUCUGGCAUUAGGUUGUCGGAGCGUCAGCCGCUCAUCGUUUACUGUGAGAAAAUUAGAGUGUUCAAAGCAGGCUUAUGCCGUUGAAUAUAUUAGCAUGGAAUAAUAAGAUAGGACCUCGGUUCUAUUUUGUUGGUUUGCGCACCAAGGUAAUGAUUAACAGGGACAGUUGGGGGUAUUUGUAUUUCGUUGUCAGAGGUGAAAUUCUUAGAUUUACGAAAGACAAACUACUGCGAAAGCAUUUACCAAGGAUGUUUUCA
rnacentral:rRNA from 1 species